rnacentral:rRNA from 1 species
CCAAUAGCGUAUAUUAAAGUUGUUGCAGUUAAAAAGCUCGUAGUUGAAUUUCGGGAUCAAUACGUCGGUCGUGCCUUCGGUACGUACUGGUGUUAUUGAUCUCUCCCUUCUGAUGAAUCACGAUGUCAUUAAUUUGGUGUCGUGGGGAGUCAGGACUGUUACUUUGAAAAAAUUAGAGUGUUUAAAGCAGGCUCACGCUUGAAUACAUUAGCAUGGAAUAAUGAAAUAGGACGUUCGAUCCUAUUUUGUUGGUUUCUAGGAUCAACGUAAUGAUUAAUAGGGAUAGUUGGGGGCAUUAGUAUUCAAUUGUCAGAGGUGAAAUUCUUGGAUUUAUUGAAGACUAACUACUGCGAAAGCAUUUGCCAAGGAUGUUUUCAUUAAUCAAGAACGAAAGUUAGGGGAUCGAAGACGAUCAGAUACCGUCGUAGUCUUAACCAUAAACUAUGCCGACUAGGGAUCGGAUGAUGUUAAUUUUUUAAUGACUCAUUCGGCGCCUUACG